UGGGGAAUCUUCCGCAAUGGGGGCGCAAGCCUGACGGAGCAACGCCGCGUGAGUGAAGAAGGUCUUCGGAUCGUAAAGCUCUGUUGAGAGGGACGAGAGACAUAAUCAGGAAAUGGGUUAUGGAGGACGGUACCUUUCGAGGAAGCCACGGCUAACUACGUGCCAGCAGCCGCGGUAAUACGUAGGUGGCGAGCGUUGUCCGGAAUUAUUGGGCGUAAAGGGAGCGCAGGUGGGAAAGUAAGUCAGUCUUAAAAGUUCGGGGCUCAACCCCGUGAUGGGAUUGAAACUACUUUUCUUGAGUGCAGGAG
rnacentral:rRNA from 1 species